CCUACGGGAGGCAGCAGUGAGGAAUAUUGGUCAAUGGGCGCGAGCCUGAACCAGCCAUGUAGCGUGAAGGAUGACUGCCCUACGGGUUGUAAACUUCUUUUAUAAAGGAAUAAAGUGAGGCACGUGUGCCUUUUUGUAUGUACUUUAUGAAUAAGGAUCGGCUAACUCCGUGUCAGCAGCCGCGGUAAUACGGAGGUUCCGAGCGUUAUCCGGAUUUAUUGGGUUUAAAGGGAGCGUAGAUGGGUUGUUAAGUCAGUUGUGAAAGUUUGCGGCUCAACCGUAAAAUUGCAAUUGAUACUGGCAGCCGUGAGUACAGUUGAGGUAGGCGGAAUUCGUGGUGUAGCGGUGAAAUGCUUAGAUAUCACGAAGAACUCCGAUGGCGAAGGCAGCUUACUAAACUGCCACUGACAUUGAUGCUCGAAAGUGUGGGGAUCAAACAGGAUUAGAUACCCUGGUAGUC
rnacentral:rRNA from 1 species